rnacentral:lncRNA from 1 species
UUUGGCAGCAGGGAAAUUACCAAUUGAUCUUUUUGGUCAUAUCAGGCUUCAUGUCUUUUCUUUCAUGGACAUGAACUUAUUCUAGUUAUGGGCUAAGGUGUGGCCCUUAUUUGAGGGUAUAGCUUUUACUGCUGUGGUGUGGACUUUCUGAGGUUUCAACUGAAUGCCUGACUGAGAUGCUCAAUGAGUUCUCUCCAUUCUGGCUGAGCUGGAGCUCCAGCAUCUCCUGGUGGUGCAUAGCAAUAAUGCCUUCAUUCAUUCCCAGCCCUGCAGAAGGCAACCACUGCUAGGCCCUGUGUACUGCCUGCCAUGGUGUGGGCAGCCUUCAGCCAAAAACCAGCAAUGAGUCUUCAUCAAGACUUCUGGAAACCCUCGUCCUCAGCUUCUGCUCUAGCACUUGGCUCCCCAAAUCUCAGCCGCUUCUGAGACCACAGCUCCAAUCUCCUCCUCAAGAGCUCCUCAAAGAGGGAACUGACAGCACUUUCUAAGGAAUGGA